rnacentral:ncRNA from 1 species
CCUUAUCAAGAGUGGUGGAGGGAACGGCCCUGUGAAACCCGGCAACCUGUAGUGAAACAAGGUGCUAAAUCCGGCGGUGUGCAAUCGAGAGAUAAG